CCUACGGGUGGCAGCAGUGGGGAAUAUUGGUCAAUGGGCGCAAGCCUGACCCAGCAACGCCGCGUGCAGGAAGACGGCUCUCGGGUUGUAAACUUCUUUUUACAGGGACGAAGAAAGUGACGGUACCUGUUGACUAAGCCACUGCUAACUACGUGCCAGCAGCCGCGGUAAUACGUAGGUGGCAAGCGUUAUCCGGAUUUACUGGGUGUAAAGGGCGAGUAGGCGGGAGAGCAAGUCAGACGUGAAAUUCCAGGGCUCAACCCUGGAACUGCGUUUGAAACUGUUCGUCUUGAGUGAAGGUGAGGCAGGCGGAAUGCCGUGUGUAGCGGUGAAAUGCUUAGAUAUACGGAGGAACACCGAUGGCGAAGGCGGCCUGCUAGAC
rnacentral:rRNA from 1 species